UUUGGCGCUGAACAUUGAGCCUUGAUGUGUAGGAUAGGUGGGAGGCUUUGAAGCGUGGACGCCAGUCUGCGUGGAGCCGACCUUGAAAUACCACCCUUUAAUGUUUGAUGUUCUAACCUGGCGCCGUAAUCCGGCGUGGGGACAGUGUCUGGUGGGUAGUUUGACUGGGGCGGUCUCCUCCCAAAGUGUAACGGAGGAGCACGAAGGUCAGCU
rnacentral:rRNA from 1 species